rnacentral:misc_RNA from 1 species
GAUGAAGAACGUAGCGAAAUGCGAUACUUGGUGUGAAUUGCAGAAUCCCGUGAACCAUCGAGUCUUUGAACGCAAGUUGCGCCCGAAGCCAUUAGGCCGAGGGCACGCCUGCCUGGGUGUCACACGUCGUUGCCCCCCCAUCUACUCCUUCGGGAUUGCGGGGGGCGGAUGAUGGCCUCCCGUGCGCCUCGUCGCGCGGUUGGCAUAAAUGCCAAGUCCUCGGCGACGCACGCCACGACAAUCGGUGGUUGCGAAACCUCGGUUGCCCGUCGUGUGCGGUCGUCGCGCAUCGAGGGCUCGAAAAAAUUGCCGGGCUCCGGCUCGGCUUUCAACGCGACCCCAGUUCAGGCGGGGUUACCCGCUGAAUUUAAGCAUAUCAAUAAGCGGAGGA